rnacentral:rRNA from 1 species
GGGACGAACGCUGGCGGCGUGCUUAACACAUGCAAGUCGAGCGGUAAGGCCUUUCGGGGUACACGAGCGGCGAACGGGUGAGUAACACGUGGGUGAUCUGCCCUGCACUUCGGGAUAAGCCUGGGAAACUGGGUCUAAUACCGGAUAUGACCUCCUAUCGCAUGGUGGGUGGUGGAAAGAUUUAUCGGUGCAGGAUGGGCCCGCGGCCUAUCAGCUUGUUGGUGGGGUAAUGGCCUACCAAGGCGACGACGGGUAGCCGACCUGAGAGGGUGACCGGCCACACUGGGACUGAGACACGGCCCAGACUCCUACGGGAGGCAGCAGUGGGGAAUAUUGCACAAUGGGCGAAAGCCUGAUGCAGCGACGCCGCGUGAGGAUGACAGCCUUCGGGUUGUAAACCUCUUUCAGCAGGGACGAAGCGCAAGUGACGGUACCUGCAGAAGAAGCACCGGCUAACUACGUGCCAGCAGCCGC